rnacentral:pre_miRNA from 1 species
AUUCUACUCCCUCCGUUGCACAAUACUACAUGCCUUUUAUUUGUCAAAAUAUAUAUGUAUCUAGACAUGUCUUAGUAUAUAGGUACAUCCAUUUUUGGACAAAUGGAAGUCAAGUAUUUUGGAACGGUGGGAGUACACA